CCCUCCUCUGCCUUGCGGGGUGACUCCACUACUGUCCCGCAGAAGCGAUUGGACGGGGACCUUGAGCGCACACGCACAGUGACAGGUGCUCAGUGCUCCCUGUUCACCAGCCCUGAGCCUGCAGCAUCACCUGGCAGAGCCAGCCCCUCACUAUCACAGCCUUGCAACAACCACAGGGGAGGCUUGGACCAGUCCUUGUCCCCACAGCAAGUUCUCCAGGUUUUAUUGGUUUCGUUCCCCAUAUCACUCCAUUCCUCCCCAUUAAACCAUCUUCUCAGUCA